rnacentral:lncRNA from 1 species
CGGGCCUCCAGGCUGCGCCCUGCCCAGCUCCCACUCUUGAAAAUGUCUUCUCAUUGCAAGUUGGAGUGUUGAGGUGCCCUAGGCCCUGGGUCCACACCGGUCACCAGCACGGCCUUGUCUGCCUCCCCACGGGGCCCACUGAGCCUGGGAGUGGACCUGCUUUGGAGGAAGCAGCUCAGUCUGGACAAACUCACUGUGGGCUAGCAGGCUGAUUUCCCCAACCCCACCCAGGUUGUAGACAAGCUCUGCCCAGAUUUUCCACUCAGUUUUGCCGGAAGCUGUGUGAAGA